rnacentral:rRNA from 1 species
UAGGGAAUCUUCCACAAUGGGCGAAAGCCUGAUGGAGCAACGCCGCGUGUGUGAUGAAGGCUUUAGGGUCGUAAAGCACUGUUGUAUGGGAAGAAAUGCUAGAAUAGGGAAUGAUUCUAGUUCGACGGUACCAUACCAGAAAGGGACGGCUAAAUACGUGCCAGCAGCCGCGGUAAUACGUAUGUCCCGAGCGUUAUCCGGAUUUAUUGGGCGUAAAGCGAGCGCAGACGGUUGAUUAAGUCUGAUGUGAAAGCCCGGAGCUCAACUCCGGAAUGGCAUUGGAAACUGGUUAACUUGAGUGUUGUAGAGGUAAGUGGAACUCCAUGUGUAGCGGUGGAAUGCGUAGAUAUAUGGAAGAACACCAGUGGCGAAGGCGGCUUACUGGACAACAACUGACGUUGAGGCUCGAAAGUGUGGGUAGCAAACAGGAUUAGAUACCCUGGUAGUCCACACCGUANCGAUGAAUACUAGGUGUUAGGAGGUUUCCGCCUCUUAGUGCCGAAGCUAACGCAUUAAGUAUUCCGCCUGGGGAGUACGACCGCAAGGNU